rnacentral:rRNA from 1 species
AAAGAUUAAGCCAUGCAUGUCUAAGCACAUGCCUUAAAAUGGUAAAGCCGCGAAUGGCUCGGUAUAACAGCUACGGUUUAUUAGAUUUUAGUUAUCUACUUGGAUAACUGUGGUAAUUCUAGAGCUAAUACAUGCACGCAAGCUCGGACCUUACGGAAAGAGCGCAUUUAUUAGAUUAAAAACCAAUCGGACCCUUGUGGUUCGUCAAAUUGGUGACUCUGAAUAACUAAGUUGAUCGCACAGUCAUAGAACUGGCGACGUAUCUUUCAAAUAUCUGCCUUAUCAACUUUCGAUGGUAGGUUAUACGCCUACCAUGGUUAUAACGGGUAACGGAGAAUAAGGGUUCGACUCCGGAGAGGGAGCCUGAGAAAUGGCUACCACAUCCAAGGAAGGCAGCAGGCGCGCAAAUUACCCAAUCCCAGUACGGGGAGGUAGUGACGAAAAAUAACGAGAUAGUCCACUAUGUGGCCUGUCAUCGGAAUGGGUACAAUUUAAAUCUUUUAACGAGGAUCUAUUAGAGGGCAAGUCUGGUGCCAGCAGCCGCGGUAAUUCCAGCUCUAAUAGCGUAUAUUAAAGUUGUUGUGGUUAAAACGCCCGUAGUUGAUUUUUCGACUUUGGAGCGCGGUAUCUCGAAAGAGUUUUAACUGCGUCUACCAAGUCUGAUCUUCUUGUUUUCUAUGGAUGCUCUUUAUUGAGUGUCUUUAGUGACUUGAACGUUUACUUUGAAAAAAUUAGAGUGCUUAAAGCAAGCUUCAUAGCUUGAAUAAAGUGCAUGGGAUAAUGGAAUAGGACUUUAGUCUUAUUUUGUUGGUUUUAGAGAUUAAAGUAAUGAUUAAGAGGAAUAGACGGGGGCAUUUGUAUUGUUGCGUUAGAGGUGAAAUUCUUGGAUCGCAGCAAGACAACCAACUGCGAAAGCAUUUGCCAAGAAUG